CCAGAGAGGCAAACGGAAGGUCCAGGGCACAGCCGCAAACAUGCCGCUUCUACGCGGAGCUGCAUGCCAUGCUAGGGGGUGCAGCCACCACUACCCCAACCGUGUGCUAUGACUCCUUCACUGGAGAAACACACAGGGAAGAGGGUUCGAGGUACGAGGAAGAGGAGGAUGAAGAUAAUGUGGAUAGCUCACAGCAGCAAGGAAGCGGAGAAACCGGUUUCCCCAACAGCCAGGAUAUGUUUAUCACCCUGGACCUGGAGCCAGUAACCCCCGAACUCACCCAAGGCGUGCUCCCAGACCCUGAGGGCACACCGGGGACCUCUGCUGCAAAUGUUUCUCCUUCACAGAGGCUAGUGAAAAUUAGAAGGAGAAAACGGCGGACUCGGGAUGACAUGUUCACGGAGCUCCAGAUGUCCUCCCACGCUGAAAGAGCACAGCAGAAUGCGUGGAGGCAGUCAGUGUCAGACUACAGAAAAGCACAGUAUGAACGAGAGGAGAGGUGGCGGGCUGAAUCGCGGGAUGAACAGAGCAAGUGGCGGGCUGAAGAUGAUAGGUGGCGUCAGCUUGCAGACAGAAGGCAAGAGUCGAUGCUCCGGCUGCUGGAGCAUCAAACUGAUAUGCUCCAGCGUAUGGUUGAACUGCAGGAAAGGCAGCAGGAGCAGAGACCGCCGCUACAGCCCCUGUGUAACCAACAGCCCUCCUCCCCAAGUUCCAUAGCCUCCUCACCCAGACGCCCAAGAACACGGUGGGGGGGCCUCCGGCCACACAGUCACUCCACCCUAGAUGAUUUCCCGAGCAAUAAGUGUUAAAGUUUUAAAGUUUUAAACUACAGUGUGUCCUUUUCCUUCCCUCCUCCCCCACUCAUCCCGGGCUACCUUGGCAAUUAUCCCCCUAGUUGUGUGCUGAAUUAAUAAAGAAUGCAUGAAUGUGAA